CCCGCACAAGCGGUGGAGUAUGUGGUUUAAUUCGAUGCAACGCGAAGAACCUUACCUGGUCUUGACAUCCCGGAGACCCUUAGGAAACUAGGGGGUGCUUCCAUCUGGAAGAAUCUGGAGACAGGUGCUGCAUGGCUGUCGUCAGCUCGUGUCGUGAGAUGUUGGGUUAAGUCCCGCAACGAGCGCAACCCUUGCCUUUAGUUGCCAGCAGUUCGGCUGGGCACUCUAAAGGGACUGCCGGUGUUAAACCGGAGGAAGGUGGGGAUGACGUCAAGUCCUCAUGGCCUUUAUGACCAGGGCUACACACGUACUACAAUGGCCGAUACAAAGGGCAGCGACACUGCGAGGUGAAGCCAAUCCCGUAAAAUCGGUCUCAGUCCGGAUUGGAGUCUGCAACUCGACUCCAUGAAGUUGGAAUCGCCUAGUAAUCGUAGGAUACAGCAUGCCACGGUGAAUACGUUCCCGGGCCUU
rnacentral:rRNA from 1 species